GUGUCAGCCGCCGCGGUAAGACGGAGGGGGCAAGCGUUGUUCGGAAUUAUUGGGCGUAAAGGGCUCGUAGGCGGAUCCGCCAGUCUGACGUGAAAUCUCCACCGCUCACCGGGGAGGGGCCGUUGGAUACUACGGAUCUGGAGUUCGGCAGAGGACCAUGGAAUUUCGGGUGUAGCGGUGGAAUGCGUAGAUAUCCGAAAGAACACCGGUGGCGAAGGCGGUGGUCUGGGCCUGAACUGACGCUGAGGAGCGAAAGCCAGGGGAGCAAACGGGAUUAGAAACCCUCGUAGUCC
rnacentral:rRNA from 1 species